CCCCCGGCCCAGCUGAACACGGACUCCCCCCGGCUUCAAGAGACCCCCCAGCCCUGCCGCCGGCCCCCUGGAAGGCACAGCCCUGGCGUCUGCCUGGAAGGAGCACCUCCUUGGACAAAUCCUAGAAUUAUUAAGGUCGGAAAAGAGCUCCGAGAUCGAGUCCAAACCUUUGACUGAAUAUCACCACGCCCAUUAAACCGUAUUGAGAAGUGCCACAUCUACUCGUUUUUGAACAUUUCCAGGGAUAGUAACUCAGCCAAAAUACAUUCUUCUUCAUGGAAAAACCUUAUUUAUUUUACCUUCUAAACAAAUAGCACAAUUCUAUAAACCAGGAAGUUCGAGGUUGACUUACCCAGGACCAUCCUCACGCAGAGAAGUCAAGUGAAGAUUUCAAAAACCUCGUGAGCCUUUAAAAAACCCUUAUGUGUGCCAAGCUGGGGUGUAUGAAUUGUCCAAAGCUAAAUUGUUGCUCCUGUGGGUUGUCAUGUACUCAGAUGCAGUUUGGCAAGAUGUAAACCUCAUAAGCAAAAAAUAUGCCAGGCUUAGUCACUAGAAACAGCCUUGUAAGCUACAGAGCAAUGGCUAUAAUCUUGUCUAGGAAAUGUGUAUUUUGUGGAGAAAGUCUAUUGGAUGUGUCUAUUACUGUUUAUUUAGAUGGUCUUCAUGUUGCUUUACUGGUUUCUUGCUCAUGCUUCUUGAAUAUCAAUUUUGUGAUUAUUAAAGAAGUUUUCAGCUAACACUAAA